AGAUCAUAAAUGCUGGAAUGCUUUAUGAUUGAAAGGUUUCGACCGCCUUAGGAUGGAUCUGCGGCCUAUCAGGUUGUAGUGGGUGUAAUGUACCUACUAGCCUACGACGGGUACGGGUUGUGGAAGCAAGAGCCCGGAGAUGGAUUCUGAGACAUGAAUCCAGGCCCUACGGGGCGCAGCAGGCGCGAAAACUUUACAAUGCGGGAAACCGUGAUAAGGGAACACUGAGUGCUAGCAUUUAUGUUAGCUGUCCACAUGUGUAAAUAGCAUGUGAUAGCAAGGGCUGGGCAAGACCGGUGCCAGCCGCCGCGGUAACACCGGCAGCCCGAGUGGUGAUCACUAUUAUUGGGUCUAAAGGGUCCGUAGCCGGUUUAAUCAGUCUUCUGGGAAAUCUAAUCGCUUAACUAUUAGGCUUCCAGGGGAUACCGUUAGACUUGGGACCGAGAGAGGUAAGAGGUACUGCAGGGGUAGGAGUGAAAUCUUGUAAUCCCUGUGAGACCACCAGUGGCGAAGGCGUCUUACCAAAACGGGUCCGACGGUGAGGGACGAAAGCUGGGGGCACGAACCGGAUUAGAUACCCGGGUAGUCCCAGCUGUAAACGAUGCUCGUUAGGUGUCAGGAACGGUGCGACUGUUUCUGGUGCCGAAGGGAAGCCGUGAAACGAGCCACCUGGGAAGUACGGCCGCAAGGCUGAAAC
rnacentral:rRNA from 1 species